rnacentral:rRNA from 1 species
UCCGUAGGUGGAUCAAUCAGUCAGAGGUGAAAUCCUGCAGCUUAACUGUAGAACUGCCUUUGAUACUGUUGAUCUUGAGUCAUUAUGAAGUGGUUAGAAUGUGUAGUGUAGCGGUGAAAUGCAUAGAUAUUACACAGAAUACCGAUUGCGAAGGCAGAUCACUAAUAAUGUACUGACGCUGAGGGACGAAAGCGUGGGGAGCGAACAGGAUUAGAUACCCUGGUAGUCC